rnacentral:rRNA from 1 species
UAGGGAAUCUUCGGCAAUGGGGGGAACCCUGACCGAGCAACGCCGCGGGAGUGAAGAAGGUUGUCGGAUCGUAAAGCUCUGUUGUUAAGGAAGAACGAGAGGGAGAAUGGAAAGUUCAUGCUGUGACGGUACUUAACCAGAAAGGGACGGCUAACUACGUGCCAGCAGCCGCGGUAAUACGUAGGUCCCGAGCGUUGUCCGGAUUUAUUGGGCGUAAAGCGAGCGCAGGCGGUUAGAAAAGUCUGAAGUGAAAGGCAGUGGCUCAACCAUUGUAGGCUUUGGAAACUGUUUAACUUGAGAGCAGAAGGGGAGAGUGGAAUUCCAUGUGUAGCGGUGAAAUGCGUAGAUAUAUGGAGGAACACCGGUGGCGAAAGCGGCUCUCUGGUCUGUAGCCGCCGCUGAGGCUCGAAAGCGUGGGGAGAGAACAGG